ACAAUUAUAGCUAACCUACAAGGACCCAAAAGAGCUUGGGUUCCUAAGUUGAAAAUAUGAUUAUUCUUCAGCAAGUAUGUCUAGCUAUCCAAGGUUCUAAUAAAAGAUGUUAUCUAAACAAUGGGUGCUCUAGACAUGUGCUAAGAAAUUGAAUUUAAAAUGUAAUUAAGAAGAAUGAGUUAAAUAAAAGAAAUAAUGAUAUAAGUUAUUAUUGCAUCCUCUCAUAUUGAAAUUACUUUAGUAUUCGAUUAAAAUAUGAAUUGCAUGUAUUGAUCAAUUUUGUGAUAUAGAAAAUACUUUUGGAAAUAUAAUCAAAUCACUUCAUUUUUUAGUAUACUUUACUCACUAUUGGAUAAGUUGCAAAAUGAUUAAUU
rnacentral:lncRNA from 1 species